UACGUAGGGCGCAAGCGUUAUCCGGAAUUAUUGGGCGUAAAGAGCUCGUAGGCGGUUUGGCAAGUCGGGUGUGAAAUUUCGAGGCUCAACCUCGAAACGCCACUCGAUACUGCCAUGACUGGAGUCCGGUAGAGGAGUGCGGAAUUCCUGGUGUAGCGGUGAAAUGCGCAGAUAAUCAGGAGGAACACCGGUGGCGAAGGCGGGUCUCUGGGCCGAUGACUGACGCUGGAGGAGCGAAAGCGUGGGGAGCGAACAGG
rnacentral:rRNA from 1 species